rnacentral:rRNA from 1 species
UACGUAGGGUGCAAGCGUUGUCCGGAAUUAUUGGGCGUAAAGAGCUCGUAGGCGGUUCAGUAAGUCGGGUGUGAAAACUUUGGGCUUAACCCAAAGCGUGCAUCCGAUACUGCUGUGACUUGAGUACGGUAGGGGAGCGGGGAAUUCCUAGUGUAGCGGUGAAAUGCGCAGAUAUUAGGAGGAACACCGGUGGCGAAGGCGCCGCUCUGGGCCGAAACUGACGCUGAGGAGCGAAAGCAUGGGUAGCAAACAGG